AAUCAUCGCCAGCCAACACCACAUAAAAAACGAGCCCGCCAUCCGAAAAAAACUGUACGUUUCACUAUUAAUUACACUACAGACCCUACUUAUCAUAACAUUUACAACCUCAGAAAUAAUAAUAUUCUACAUUCUAUUCGAAGCCACACUAAUCCCAACACUAAUUAUCAUCACCCGGUGAGGCAACCAAACAGAACGGAUAAAGGCGGGGUUAUAUUUCCUUUUCUACACUCUCACUGGAUCCCUACCACUUCUGGUUGCCCUAACUUACCUAAAAAAUUCCCUCGGCUCACUAAACUUUAUUCUAUUCAGUUACAAAACAUCCCCCCUCCUGCCCACAUGAUCCAAAGGCAUGUUACGACUCGCCUGCAUCAUAGCAUUUAUGGUUAAAUUUCCACUAUAUGGCCUACACCUAUGACUACCAAAAGCCCAUGUAGAAGCCCCUGUCGCCGGCUCAAUAGUACUGGCCGCUGUCCUGCUAAAACUAGGGGGCUACGGAAUAAUACGAAUCUCACAACUCCUAGAGCCCCUCACAACCUCAAUAAGCUACCCAUUCAUCUUAUUGUCCCUGUGAGGAAUAAUUAUAACUAGCUCCAUCUGCCUACGACAAACGGACCUAAAAUCUCUUAUCGCCUACUCCUCCGUUAGCCACAUAGCCCUUGUAAUCACAGCUAUCCUCAUUCAAACACCAUGAAGUUAUAUAGGAGCCACAGCCCUAAUAAUCGCUCACGGUCUCACAUCAUCCCUUUUAUUUUGCCUAGCAAACUCCAACUACGAACGGACCCAUAGCCGAACCAUAAUCCUAGCCCGCGGACUACAAACCAUCCUUCCCCUAAUAGCACUCUGAUGACUCCUUGCUAGCCUUACUAACCUCGCUUUACCCCCAUCAAUCAACCUAGUAGGAGAAUUAUUAAUCAUCACUUCAGCCUUCUCUUGAUCAAACUUCACAAUCAUCCUAACCGGACUAAACGUACUCAUUACGGCACUAUACACACUAUAUAUGCUAACUUCCACACAACGCGGCACACCUCCCCACCACAUCAUCAACCUCCCCCCUUCAUUUACACGAGAAAACACACUAAUAACACUUCACCUAUUCCCCCUACUACUAAUAACCCUCAACCCUAAAAUCAUCCUAGGGAACCUAUUCUGUAAAAAUAGUUUAACAAAAACACUAGAUUGUGAAUCUAAAGACAGAGAUUUAAGCUCUCCUUUUUACCAAGAAAGUGAAGUAGAACUGCUAAUUCUACAUCCCAUACAUAAAAAUAUGGCUUUCUCACUUUUAAAGGAUAGAAGCAAUCCGUUAGUCUUAGGAACUAAAAACUUGGUGCAACUCCAAAUAAAAGUAAUAAACUUAUAUAUCUCAUCAUUCAUUAUAUCACUACUACUACUUACCACACCUAUCCCACUAUCCAAUAUUAAUUUUCCCAAAAACAUAUCAUACCCCUCAUACGUAAAAUCAAUUAUCUCCUUAUCAUUCUUUAUCAGCCUAAUCCCAACCACCAUACUACUACUAUCGAACCAAGAAACAGUAAUCUCCAACUGAAGCUGAAUACA
ensembl:lncRNA